CCCUUAGAUGUUCUGGGCUGCACGCGUGCUACACUGAUGUAUUCAACAAGUUCUACCUUGGCCGAGAGGCCUGGGAAAUCUUUCAAAUAUGUAUCGUGAUAGGGAUAGAUUAUUGCAAUUAUUAAUCUUGAACGAGGAAUUCCUAGUAAAUGCAGAUCAUCAUUCUGCGUUGAUUACGUCCCUGCCCUUUGUACACACCGCCCGUCGCACCUACCGAUUGAAUGAUCCGGUGAAGCCUCGGGAUUGUGCCCAGAGAACUUUAUUGUGAUUUGGGUGUGAGAACUUGUCUAAACCUUAUCAUUUAGAGGAAGGUGAAGUCGUAACA
rnacentral:rRNA from 1 species